rnacentral:rRNA from 1 species
CGGGCCUUGUACACACCGCCCGUCACACCAUGGGAGUGGGUUGCAAAAGAAGUAGGUAGCUUAACCUCCGGGAGGGCGCUUACCACUUUGUGAUUCAUGACUGGGGUGAAGUCGUAACAAGGUAACCGUAGGGGAACCUGCGGUUGGAUCACCUCCUUACCUGAA